ACGGAAGGCAGCAGUGGGGAAUAUUGCACAAUGGGGGAAACCCUGAUGCAGCGACGCCGCGUGAGCGAAGAAGUAUUUCGGUAUGUAAAGCUCUAUCAGCAGGGAAGAAAAUGACGGUACCUGACUAAGAAGCCCCGGCUAACUACGUGCCAGCAGCCGCGGUAAUACGUAGGGGGCAAGCGUUAUCCGGAUUUACUGGGUGUAAAGGGAGCGCAGGUGGCAUGGCAAGCCAGAAGUGAAAACCCGGGGCUCAACCCCGUGGAUUGCUUUUGGAACUGUCAGGCUUGAGUACUGGAGGGGUAAGCGGAAUUCCUAGUGUAGCGGUGAAAUGCGUAGAUAUUAGGAAGAACACCGGUGGCGAAGGCGGCUUACUGGACAGCAACUGACACUGAGGCUCGAAAGCGUGGGGAGCAAACAGGAUUAGAUACCCUGGUA
rnacentral:rRNA from 1 species